AACGAACGCUGGCGGCAUGCCUAGCACAUGCAAGUCGAACGAGACCUUCGGGUCUAGUGGCGCACGGGUGCGUAACGCGUGGGAACCUGCCCUUAGGUUCGGAAUAACUCCCCGAAAGGGGUGCUAAUACCGGAUAAUGUCUUCGGACCAAAGAUUUAUCGCCUUUGGAUGGGCCCGCGUUGGAUUAGCUAGUUGGUAGGGUAAAAGCCUACCAAAGGCGACGAUCCAUAGCUGGUCUGAGAGGAUGAUCAGCCACACUGGGACUGAGACACGGCCCAGACUCCUACGGGAGGCAGCAGUGGGGAAUAUUGGACAAUGGGCGAAAGCCUGAUCCAGCAAUGCCGCGUGAGUGAUGAAGGCCUUAGGGUUGUAAAGCUCUUUUACCCGGGAUGAUAAUGACAGUACCGGGAGAAUAAGCUCCGGCUAACUCCGUG
rnacentral:rRNA from 1 species